GUAGGAUCUGCAGAGCUUCAGCCACACAGCCUUUCCACCUGUGGCAGCUGCAGCCAAGACCCACUGAUUGAGCCCAACGAAAGAAGACCACUCUUCUGUGACCUCGGGGCUCCUUCAGGGGAAGGUCCUCCUCCACAGAACCCUCUCAUUCCAGAGCUUCCUGGAGCCAAGGAACAGAAUCCCACGGAGGGAAGGUGAACUCCAAGAGCCCCUGGCUUCUGCAGGCCCUAUGACCAGCACUAAGAAUUAGAUGGCUGUCAACUGUCACUUGUUCCCAGGGGAGUACAUGGUCAAGGUUGUAAAAUGGUGGGAGGGAUGCUCAGGUCAAAAUGGAAAACACCUCUCAGGUAUGUCCUGAGGGUAUUGUGUGCCCCUGAGUUCCCCAUCAUCCCUCCCGUGUGUCAAUUUCUUCCGGGGUUAACUCCUAAGCCACCUGCUAUGCCCAAGGGAUAUGCGAUCUCUUUUCCGGAUUAUUCUGGAGGGGCACGGGGCUUCGUGGACACCCUUGUUUCUUCUAUCUCUCCCUGCUGUCCUGUCUGCCUCCUUUCAGAUCCCUGGAGAACCUAACAGAACCAAAGGGACCUUACUGUCCAAACAGCAGCAUUUUGGAGCAAUCUCGGAAGCUUGGCCAGAGAACAGGGAGUGAGGAGGCUCAGCUCUCUUACCACUUUUCCAGGCUGUGGGGUUCCUGUGCUCGACGUGUGUGGUGAAG
rnacentral:lncRNA from 1 species